rnacentral:rRNA from 1 species
GACGAACGCUGGCGGCGUGCCUAACACAUGCAAGUUGAGCGACGAACCAGGGCUUGCCCUGGGGCAAAGCAGCGAACGGGUGAGUAACACGUGGGUAACCUACCCCGAUAACCGGGACAACCCGAGGAAACUCGGGCUAAUACCGGAUGUGCUCACUGGACUUCGGUUCAGUGCGUAAAGGAAGCUUCGGCCUCCGUAUCGGGAGGGGCCCGCGGCCCAUUAGUUUGUUGGUGAGGUAACGGCUCACCAAGACCGCGAUGGGUAGCUGGUCUGAGAGGACGAUCAGCCACACUGGGACUGAGACACGGCCCAGACUCCUACGGGAGGCAGCAGUGGGGAAUCUGGCGCAAUGCGCGAAAGCGUGACGCAGCAACGCCGCGUGGGGGAAGAAGGCCUGCGGGUUGUAAACCCCUUUCAGGAGGGACGAAGGUUCGGCGGUGAAUAGCCGUCCGGACUGACGGUACCUCCACAAGAAGCCCCGGCUAACUACGU